AGUGGCCCAGCCAUGGACUUGUGGAGGAGACCAUCAUUUGAUGCAGUUGGCCACACUGAAGCUCAGACACGCCAACGUGGUAAUGAGGCAGAACGUGGAUUCCACUCCAUCCUUUUAAGAUUAAAGACAUGCUCAGCAACAGGUGAUACUAGUUCAAGUAUUUACCGGGUUAUGUGCUGGGUGAGCUGGUGAGCCUGCAGUCCCAAAAGGAAGAAAAAGAGAAUGAACGCAGCAGCCAGCUGCGGGAGAAGCAACCGUGCAGCCAUCUCGGGUUGGGGGGCAGGAGGUUUCCCAGGGGAGCUGCCUCCUGGCAGGAAGCGCUGGAAUCCAGCUCAGUAAUUCCCAUGAACUCUGUUUAACACCAGCAAGAUGGGAAAGGAAGGCAGCUGCAGCCCCAGCUGGAGAGCAGGGCCCUGAGGCUGGGCUCUUCCUGGGCACAAGCCUCUGCCCAGAGCUUCCUGGCGGGGCCCUCAGCUCCUCUUCUCCAAGGCCUGGAAACGAGCUCCAUGGGGCUGAGAAUCAUCUCUGUGUGUGGGAGACACAUGGUCAAUCUGAGUAAGCGGAAAAAAUGGUAUCAAUAUAAAAGUAAGAUAUAAACACAACUCCUCAACAAAAUUAAAACCCACAGAAAGGGAA